rnacentral:rRNA from 1 species
GACGAACGCUGGCGGCGUGCUUAACACAUGCAAGUCGAACGAAGUGGCGAACGGGUGAGUAACGCGUAAUCAACCUGCCCUUCAGGGGGGGACAACAGUUGGAAACGACUGCUAAUACCGCAUACUGAAGGGGGGGGUUGCGUCUGAUUCGCUAGUUGGAGGGAUAACGGCCCACCAAGGCGAUGAUCAGUAGUCUGGCUGAGGGGAUUAACGGCCCAAUUGGGACUGAGACACUGCCCAGACUCCUACGGGAGGCAGCAGUGGGGAAUCUGCCGCAAUGGACGAAAGUCUGACGGAGCAACGCCGCGUGAGUGAUGACGGCCUUCGGGUUGUAAAGCUCUGUUAAGCGGGACGCGGUACCGGAAUAGAAAGCCACGGCUAACUACGUGCCAGCAGCCGCGGUAAUUC